AGAGUUUGAUCCUGGCUCAGGAUGAACGCUGGCGGCGUGCCUAAUACAUGCAAGUCGAGCGAACGGACGAGAAGCUUGCUUCUCUGAUGUUAGCGGCGGACGGGUGAGUAACACGUGGAUAACCUACCUAUAAGACUGGGAUAACUUCGGGAAACCGGAGCUAAUACCGGAUAAUAUUUUGAACCGCAUGGUUCAAAAGUGAAAGACGGUCUUGCUGUCACUUAUAGAUGGAUCCGCGCUGCAUUAGCUAGUUGGUAAGGUAACGGCUUACCAAGGCAACGAUGCAUAGCCGACCUGAGAGGGUGAACGGCCACACUGGAACUGAGACACGGUCCAGACUCCUACGGGAGGCAGCAGUAGGGAAUCUUCCGCAAUGGGCGAAAGCCUGACGGAGCAACGCCGCGUGAGUGAUGAAGGUCUUCGGAUCGUAAAACUCUGUUAUUAGGGAAGAACAUAUGUGUAAGUAACUGUGCACAUCUUGACGGUACCUAAUCAGAAAGCCACGGCUAACUACGUGCCAGCAGCCGCGGUAAUACGUAGGUGGCAAGCGUUAUCCGGAAUUAUUGGGCGUAAAGCGCGCGUAGGCGGUUUUUUAAGUCUGAUGUGAAAGCCCACGGCUCAACCGUGGAGGGUCAUUGGAAACUGGAAAACUUGAGUGCAGAAGAGGAAAGUGGAAUUCCAUGUGUAGCGGUGAAAUGCGCAGAGAUAUGGAGGAACACCAGUGGCGAAGGCGACUUUCUGGUCUGUAACUGACGCUGAUGUGCGAAAGCGUGGGGAUCAAACAGGAUUAGAUACCCUGGUAGUCCACGCCGUAAACGAUGAGUGCUAAGUGUUAGGGGGUUUCCGCCCCUUAGUGCUGCAGCUAACGCAUUAAGCACUCCGCCUGGGGAGUACGACCGCAAGGUUGAAACUCAAAGGAAUUGACGGGGACCCGCACAAGCGGUGGAGCAUGUGGUUUAAUUCGAAGCAACGCGAAGAACCUUACCAAAUCUUGACAUCCUUUGACAACUCUAGAGAUAGAGCCUUCCCCUUCGGGGGACAAAGUGACAGGUGGUGCAUGGUUGUCGUCAGCUCGUGUCGUGAGAUGUUGGGUUAAGUCCCGCAACGAGCGCAACCCUUAAGCUUAGUUGCCAUCAUUAAGUUGGGCACUCUAAGUUGACUGCCGGUGACAAACCGGAGGAAGGUGGGGAUGACGUCAAAUCAUCAUGCCCCUUAUGAUUUGGGCUACACACGUGCUACAAUGGACAAUACAAAGGGUAGCGAAACCGCGAGGUCAAGCAAAUCCCAUAAAGUUGUUCUCAGUUCGGAUUGUAGUCUGCAACUCGACUACAUGAAGCUGGAAUCGCUAGUAAUCGUAGAUCAGCAUGCUACGGUGAAUACGUUCCCGGGUCUUGUACACACCGCCCGUCACACCACGAGAGUUUGUAACACCCGAAGCCGGUGGAGUAACCUUUUAGGAGCUAGCCGUCGAAGGUGGGACAAAUGAUUGGGGUGAAGUCGUAACAAGGUAGCCGUAUCGGAAGGUGCGGCUGGAUCACCU
rnacentral:rRNA from 1 species